rnacentral:rRNA from 1 species
GACGAACGCUGGCGGCGUGCCUAAUACAUGCAAGUAGAACGCACAGUUUAUACCGUAGCUUGCUACACCAUACACUGUGAGUUGCGAACGGGUGAGUAACGCGUAGGUAACCUGCCUGGUAGCGGGGGAUAACUAUUGGAAACGAUAGCUAAUACCGCAUAAUAUUAAUUAUUGCAUGAUAAUUGAUUGAAAGAUGCAAUUGCAUCACUACCAGAUGGACCUGCGUUGUAUUAGCUAGUAGGUGAGGUAACGGCUCACCUAGGCGACGAUACAUAGCCGACCUGAGAGGGUGAUCGGCCACACUGGGACUGAGACACGGCCCAGACUCCUACGGGAGGCAGCAGUAGGGAAUCUUCGGCAAUGGACGAAAGUCUGACCGAGCAACGCCGCGUGAGUGAAGAAGGUUUUCGGAUCGUAAAGCUCUGUUGUAAGAGAAGAACGGGUGUGAGAGUGGAAAGUUCACACUGUGACGGUAUCUUACCAGAAAGGGACGGCUAACUACGU